GGGUUGUGAGGUUAAGCGACUAAGCGUACACGGUGGAUGCCCUGGCAGUCAGAGGCGAUGAAGGACGUGCUAAUCUGCGAUAAGCGUCGGUAAGGUGAUAUGAACCGUUAUAACCGGCGAUUUCCGAAUGGGGAAACCCAGUGUGUUUCGACACACUAUCAUUAACUGAAUCCAUAGGUUAAUGAGGCGAACCGGGGGAACUGAAACAUCUAAGUACCCCGAGGAAAAGAAAUCAACCGAGAUUCCCCCAGUAGCGGCGAGCGAACGGGGAGGAGCCCAGAGUCUGAAUCAGUGUGUGUGUUAGUGGAAGCGUCUGGAAAGGCGCGCGAUACAGGGUGACAGCCCCGUACACAAAAAUGCACAUACUGUGAGCUCGAUGAGUAGGGCGGGACACGUGGUAUCCUGUCUGAAUAUGGGGGGACCAUCCUCCAAGGCUAAAUACUCCUGACUGACCGAUAGUGAACCAGUACCGUGAGGGAAAGGCGAAAAGAACCCCGGCGAGGGGAGUGAAAAAGAACCUGAAACCGUGUACGUACAAGCAGUGGGAGCCUCUUUUAUGGGGUGACUGCGUACCUUUUGUAUAAUGGGUCAGCGACUUAUAUUCUGUAGCAAGGUUAACCGAAUAGGGGAGCCGAAGGGAAACCGAGUCUUAACUGGGCGUUAAGUUGCAGGGUAUAGACCCGAAACCCGGUGAUCUAGCCAUGGGCAGGUUGAAGGUUGGGUAACACUAACUGGAGGACCGAACCGACUAAUGUUGAAAAAUUAGCGGAUGACUUGUGGCUGGGGGUGAAAGGCCAAUCAAACCGGGAGAUAGCUGGUUCUCCCCGAAAGCUAUUUAGGUAGCGCCUCGUGAAUUCAUCUCCGGGGGUAGAGCACUGUUUCGGCAAGGGGGUCAUCCCGACUUACCAACCCGAUGCAAACUGCGAAUACCGGAGAAUGUUAUCACGGGAGACACACGGCGGGUGCUAACGUCCGUCGUGAAGAGGGAAACAACCCAGACCGCCAGCUAAGGUCCCAAAGUCAUGGUUAAGUGGGAAACGAUGUGGGAAGGCCCAGACAGCCAGGAUGUUGGCUUAGAAGCAGCCAUCAUUUAAAGAAAGCGUAAUAGCUCACUGGUCGAGUCGGCCUGCGCGGAAGAUGUAACGGGGCUAAACCAUGCACCGAAGCUGCGGCAGCGACGCUUAUGCGUUGUUGGGUAGGGGAGCGUUCUGUAAGCCUGUGAAGGUGUGCUGUGAGGCAUGCUGGAGGUAUCAGAAGUGCGAAUGCUGACAUAAGUAACGAUAAAGCGGGUGAAAAGCCCGCUCGCCGGAAGACCAAGGGUUCCUGUCCAACGUUAAUCGGGGCAGGGUGAGUCGACCCCUAAGGCGAGGCCGAAAGGCGUAGUCGAUGGGAAACAGGUUAAUAUUCCUGUACUUGGUGUUACUGCGAAGGGGGGACGGAGAAGGCUAUGUUGGCCGGGCGACGGUUGUCCCGGUUUAAGCGUGUAGGCUGGUUUUCCAGGCAAAUCCGGAAAAUCAAGGCUGAGGCGUGAUGACGAGGCACUACGGUGCUGAAGCAACAAAUGCCCUGCUUCCAGGAAAAGCCUCUAAGCAUCAGGUAACAUCAAAUCGUACCCCAAACCGACACAGGUGGUCAGGUAGAGAAUACCAAGGCGCUUGAGAGAACUCGGGUGAAGGAACUAGGCAAAAUGGUGCCGUAACUUCGGGAGAAGGCACGCUGAUAUGUAGGUGAAGUCCCUUGCGGAUGGAGCUGAAAUCAGUCGAAGAUACCAGCUGGCUGCAACUGUUUAUUAAAAACACAGCACUGUGCAAACACGAAAGUGGACGUAUACGGUGUGACGCCUGCCCGGUGCCGGAAGGUUAAUUGAUGGGGUCAGCGCAAGCGAAGCUCUUGAUCGAAGCCCCGGUAAACGGCGGCCGUAACUAUAACGGUCCUAAGGUAGCGAAAUUCCUUGUCGGGUAAGUUCCGACCUGCACGAAUGGCGUAAUGAUGGCCAGGCUGUCUCCACCCGAGACUCAGUGAAAUUGAACUCGCUGUGAAGAUGCAGUGUACCCGCGGCAAGACGGAAAGACCCCGUGAACCUUUACUAUAGCUUGACACUGAACAUUGAGCCUUGAUGUGUAGGAUAGGUGGGAGGCUUAGAAGUGUGGACGCCAGUCUGCAUGGAGCCGACCUUGAAAUACCACCCUUUAAUGUUUGAUGUUCUAACGUUG
rnacentral:rRNA from 1 species